rnacentral:rRNA from 1 species
UACGGAGGGUGCAAGCGUUAAUCGGAAUUACUGGGCGUAAAGCGCACGCAGGUGGCUGAGUCAGUCGAUUGUGAAAGCCCUGGGCUUAACCUGGGAAUUGCAGUCGAUACUACUCAGCUAGAGUAUGGGAGAGGGUAGUGGAAUUCCCGGUGUAGCGGUGAAAUGUGUAGAGAUCAGGAGGAACACCGGUGGCGAAGGCGGGUCUCUGGGCCGAUACUGACGCUGAGGAGCGAAAGCGUGGGGAGCGAACAGG